UUUCUCUCUCCCUUUCAUUCUCCCUCUCUUCCUGCGUCCACUGCCUGAUAAUUGUUUUCAUUGUGUAGGUAACACCCCGCCCCAGUGUCAUUUUUCAAGAUGACGCUGCUUUUCCCCUCCUUGUUGAGGAAUCUACCCCAUCAACAGUGGGAAACAGGACUGUCCAGGGAUAUUGAUAUGCUGUACACUCUACCUUGGAAAAUAAUACCAUCUCCA